GCUUUGAAGCGUGGACGCCAGUCUGCGUGGAGCCAACCUUGAAAUACCACCCUUUAAUGUUUGAUGUUCUAACGUUGGCCCCUUACCGGGGUUGCGGACAGUGUCUGGUGGGUAGUUUGACUGGGGCGGUCUCCUCCCAAAGCGUAACGGAGGAGCACGAAGGUUAGCUAAUCCUGGUCGGACAUCAGGAGGUUAGUGCAAUGGCAUAAGCUAGCUUGACUGCGAGCGUGACGGCGCGAGCAGGUGCGAAAGCAGGUCAUAGUGAUCCGGUGGUUCUGAAUGGAAGGGCCAUCGCUCAACGGAUAAAAGGUACUCCGGGGAUAACAGGCUGAUACCGCCCAAGAGUUCAUAUCGACGGCGGUGUUUGGCACCUCGAUGUCGGCUCAUCACAUCCUGGGGCUGAA
rnacentral:rRNA from 1 species